UACGUAGGGUGCUAGCGUUGUCCGGAUUUAUUGGGCGUAAAGGGCUCGUAGGCGGCGUGUCGCGUCGGGAGUGAAAGCCCGCUGCUUAACGGCGGGUUGGCUUCCGGUACGGGCAUCGCUGGAGUGCGGCAGGGGAGACUGGAAUUCCGGGUGUAGCGGUGGAAUGCGUAGAGAUCCGGAAGAACACCGGUGGCGAAGGCGGUCUGCUGGGCAGUUGCUGACACUGAGGCGCGACAGCGUGGGGAGCAAACAGG
rnacentral:rRNA from 1 species